rnacentral:lncRNA from 1 species
GGGAAGGCCAACAAAGUUGAAGGAAUUUCCUGAGUACGAGAGAACAAAUGUUUGCACAUGUUGAACAUCUGGAUGUCAUAGCAUCAAAGUCAGUUGACACAGCAAGCCAAUAGACACAAUUUUUGCUCAUAACCAAAUGAGAUGCAUGAUUGCCUUUUAUCAAGCUUCCUCUUAACUCGGAGUGGAGUCAUUGACUUGAAGUGUAUUGAGCAGUGCUCCUUGUGGUUUACUUUCUGCAGUUUCCAUCAUCUGUGAUCAAAUGAGGUCUGAAUAUAUUAAACGGAUAUUUUCAAAAAGAGACAAUUCCUAAGUUUUAAAUUGCAUGCUGUUCUGAAUCAUACGAUGAAAUCUGGCACCAUCCUUAUCUUCACCUGGGUCAUGAGUCAUUUAUUUGUCCUGCACAUCUGAUUUGUACUUGCAACCUU